UACGAAGGGUGCAAACGUUGCUCGGAAUUAUUGGGCGUAAAGCGCGCGUAGGCGGCUUGGCAAGUCGGAUGUGAAAUCCCUCGGCUCAACCAAGGAAGUGCAUCCGAAACUGCUGAGCUUGAGUACUUAAGAGGAUCGCGGAAUUCCCGGUGUAGAGGUGAAAUUCGUAGAUAUCAGGAGGAACACCGGUGGCGAAGGCGGUUCUCUGGGCCUGUACUGACGCUGAGGAACGAAAGCGUGGGGAGCGAACAGG
rnacentral:rRNA from 1 species